UACGUGGGGUGCGAGCGUUGUCCGGAAUUAUUGGGCGUAAAGAGCUCGUAGGCGGUUUGUCGCGUCGAAUGUGAAAACCCGGGGCUCAACCCCGGGCCUGCAUUCGAUACGGGCAGACUAGAGUUCGGUAGGGGAGUCUGGAAUUCCUGGUGUAGCGGUGAAAUGCGCAGAUAUCAGGAGGAACACCGGUGGCGAAGGCGGGACUCUGGGCCGAUACUGACGCUGAGGAGCGAAAGCGUGGGGAGCAAACAGG
rnacentral:rRNA from 1 species